CCUUGUGCCAGCCGCCGCGGUAAAACCAGCUCUUCAAGUGGUCGGGAUAAUUAUUGGGCUUAAAGUGUCCGUAGCCGGUUUAGUAAGUUCCUGGUAAAACCGGGCAGCUUAACUGUCCGUAUGCUAGGAAUACUGCUAUGCUAGAGGGCGGGAGAGGUCUGAGGUACUACAGGGGUAGGGGUGAAAUCUUAUAAUCCUUGUAGGACCACCAGUGGCGAAAGCGUCAGACUGGAACGCGCCUGACGGUGAGGGACGAAAGCCAGGGGAGCGAACCGGAUUAGAUACCCGGGUAGUCCUGGCCGUAAACGAUGCAUACUAGGCAAUGGUGCGGCCAUGAGCCGCAUCAGUACCGUAGGGAAACCGUUAAGUGUGCCGCCUGGGAAGUACGGUCGCAAGGCUAAAACUUAAAGGAAUUGGCGGGGGAGCACCACAAGGGGUGAAGCCUGCGGUUCAAUUGGACUCAACGCCGGGAAACUUACCAGGGGAGACAGCAGAAUGACAGUCAGGUUGACGACCUUACUCGACGAGCUGAGAGGAGGUGCAUGGCCGUCGCCAGUUCGUGCUGUGAGGUAUCCUGUUAAGUCAGGCAACGAACGAGAUCCGCGCCUUUAUUUGCCAUCAAGAAGUCACGACUUCGUUGGGAACACUAAAGGGACCGCCGUCGAUAAGACGGAGGAAGGAGCGGGCAAAGGCAGGUCUGU
rnacentral:rRNA from 1 species